AUUAAAAAAUUUGGUAGGAGAGAAAACAUUUUCCCGCAAAAUAUUUUGUCGUAGUUGGUUAUGAGAAAAUAGUGCUCCGUUAUUGUAACAUCUCCAAUGGCGACGCUAAAUCUUCCUACUGGAACGCAACGCAACGCACGCUUUCAGAUCGCCUUUCGGAAUCAAAUCGUGGCCGUUAAAUUCCCCCGAGCAAAUCGAUUAACCUGUAAUAUUUAAAAAGGAGAGCAGGGUGUUACAGAAUACAAUGCCGAUGAUGGAAGGUGGAUAACUUCGGGGCAGUUCUCUAGCAUGGAUGGAAGUGCCUUGAAUAGCUGCAACUGGUUGUGCCUCCUAGUGUAUAUCUCUUGUUUGGUUACCCCGGGAAUAGAAAAGAUGAGCAACUUAUGUGGAGAUUUCAGAUGAUGCUGAGGUUAGAUAGUCUCUAGAUGACGCUGAAGAAGUCUUUUCUCGAGCUCUCAAGCGUUUUACUGCUACAACGAGAAAGGAAGGACUCGGAAGUUAAGAGCAGUCCAGCUCUAUGGAGAAUUCUGCAGAGCUGAGUAUUUUGAAGUGACUGAGUUUGAACAUUGGAGAGGGAGGAAAUCCUAAUACCAAUCAGAAACUCUACACAAAAUGUUGUUCUGGUGACUGCGUAUCUUCCUCUUAUUCAUAUGGCUCUGGCAAAACAUGCCUAAGAUAUGAUCCAUAUCAGCGGAUUUAUCACCCCCUUAUGAGCCCACGUGGCAUAUAGAGUGUAUUCACUCUCCAAUAGCGCGUGAGGUAGGUUUUUUUUUUUUUUUAAUUCAUUUUAGCAUUUGUUUCAUUAAAAAAUACCUUUUCCUUUUACUUUAUUUAUUUUAUUUAAUAUUUUAUUUUUCCUUAUCUUCUUCAGCAAGAAGACCCAAUUGGUUACCCUUUUUUUUCUUCUAUGGACUUUUCGGAAUCGUCCUUAUUCUCUGUCUUUUUUUGCUUUUGAGUUUUGUUAUGGAGAUUGGGGUAAGUCAUUGGAGAUGGAAUGGCGGUUUGAAGGUGAUUUCUAAUUUUCAAAGUUUGAUUUGGUGAUGGUUAAUGCUAUUUUGAUUGGAGAUGGAAUGGUGGUUCUUCCAAUUCUGGCCGGUUUGAAAAACAAUACUUUUGUUUUCUAUCUUAUUCUUUUUUUUUUUUUAGUUGGGUUCAUUAAUUUUUUUUCCCUCCUAAAAAUGGAGGUUGAAAGUGGUGAGGUUAAGGGAUAUUGAUUUGAGGGUAAGAAGUUGGAUAGAUGUCGAUUUAAAUUUCAGAUUUGGUUUGGUGCUAAUUUUAAUUAUUUGGCGGUGGUUUGACAACUUUCGGUGGUGCUGUGGUGGAAUUGGUGGUGCAAUGGCGGUGAUGAAGUGGCUAAGGUGGGGGGAACUUCUAUAGAAGUUGAGGUGAAGAAGAAGGGGGGAAAGAAAAAUAAAAGAAAAGAAAGAAAAGGAAUCAAAUAGGAAAAAUAAAAAAUAAAAAAAUUUAAAAAUCAAUUUGACACGUGGCAAGUGAUGAUUGAUGCGUGAGUUACACAAAUCUUCUUAUACUUGGGGUUGAUCGAAAAAGCAUGAAUAUAUACUAUUUUAAAGUUAUUAGGGGGGUCAUAGGAUCCCACAAAGUUAAAGUGUCUUAUUGAGAAAAGGUGGCAUAAACUCUUAAGGGCCAAAGUUUUAACAUAUUUGAAAGCUGUCAAAAGGCCUAGCAAUCAUACUCGCGACUUUUUUGACAGACGUCGUCUUUGUUUUACUGCAAAGUGUUAGGCUUUGGCCCUUUCUUAGUCUUGUCAUUUUGUAGCUUCCUAACAUAUGAUAGCUGGCUUCAUUUACUCCACAAUUAUAUGAUCUCUUUUUUUUAAAAAACAUCUAUUCUCUACACUCCACAAAAAAAAAAAAAAAAAAAAAAAAAAAAGCAGAGAAGUGCAUAUUUGUGUACAUGUUUUAAGCAUAAAAUUUGAUUCUAACUCAAUCUUAAAAUAUAGUUUAAGCAGUGAAAAUUGCGUAAGAUCAUAUAAAAACACUAUUAUUUAUAUAAUUAACUUGUAUUUGAAAUUUUAAUGCACUCUGUAUUUAGUGUGGAUUAAUUUGUGGGAUUUCACUGGGUUGUUGUUGCUGUUGUUGUAGAAGUUUGAGUAGCAUACGAAGAGCGCGAUAAUAGAUUGGAAAAGAAGUUGUUAAAAGUUGCUUAAUAGAUUAGGAAAGGUAUGAACUUAAUUAUACGUUGCGUUAAUUGGCAUCGAAUGAAAGUUUUUUCUGAGAAAAUGGUUUUUGCUGUGUACAACUUGUGCUAACUUCUUAGAUAAAUGUGAGAAUAGUAUAUACUAUCUCGCCAUUUAUGGCUCUCUAAAAUCAUGUACUAUUUCUUAUGUUUGCCUCUUGAUUCAGAAAUGAAGAGUGGUUACUGCUUGCGUGCUAUAUAUCUGUUCUAUGUGUGGAGAAGCAUGAGUACACCAUUCAGCAGCUAGUAUAUUGGCAGUUGAAGGUCAUGCUAAUAUAAGGCUAUUAUAGUUUGUGUAUGGAGUUUCAAUUUGGAAAAAUCGGAGAUGUUGCAACUCCAUUAGUAGUCAUCUUGAAAUUACUUCUUCAUUAACUUAAGGGUCUUGCUUCUUUUGUUACUUCAAAAUAGAAAAAGGAGAGCAGGGUGUUACAGAAUACAAUGCUGAUGAUGGAAGGUGGAUAACUUCGGGGCAGUUCUCUAGCAUGGAUGGAAGUGCCUUGAAUAGCUGCAACUGGUUGUGCCUCCUAGUGUAUAUGUCUUGUUUAGUUACCCCGGGAAUAGAAAAGAUGAGCAACUUAUGUGGAGAUUUCAGAUGAUGCUGAGGUUAGAUAGUCUCUAGGUAUGGAGUACUGAAGUAUUAUGGACCCAAACGGAGCAUUUAUGAUAUUGAGAAUUCAUACAGCCGACCCCAACUACCUUGGGAUUAGGCGUAAUUGUUAUUGUUGUUGUUUCAGAUGACGCUGAGGAAGUCUUUUCUCGAGCUCUCAAGCAUUUUACUGAGUAAAAGCUCAGUGAAGGAUGGACAGUAUGUCACUCUUGUCCAAAGUGGAGCACAACCAAUCUAGCGUGGAAAAUCUAUUUACCAUAUACAAAUUCGUAAGGUCAAAAGUUGAUUUUGUGCCAUAACAUUUUAUUUAAGUAGAAAUCAUGUUGUGUUGUGUAGUUGGCAUCUAGGCUAUAGUUUUGUCAUUUUCUCUUACAUACAGUUUCCUUUUUAGCUGGACUUGUUCCUUCUGUGAUGAAAUAUAGAAGUUCCUUAAGGGUGAAAUUUUUUGCGAUGGCAGAGUUGUUUUUAUAAUUGUUACAUCAAUUAGGUUGCUGCAUCAAACAAUGUCUUCAACAAUGUGGGAAAUCUGAUUGUCCGUGGUUGACGUUUA